CCUUCAGUAGUUUAUAAGCGAUUUACCGAUUAUCUAACUGCCUGGAUCACCAGCUGAUCUCUGUUCUUCGUCGAGGUUUCAACCCUUUCUCUCCGAACCUCUCCAAACAGUGUCCACAACCUCAGCCAUGAGUUCACACAAAUUCUCGAUGGAAAUGUGCAUCAUUGAGCAUGGUGUCCGGGUAUGGGAAGGUAUUACAAGUCUCCACCAUUUCCAGUACAAUAUUCCUGUCCCCACGUUUUCUAGUGCAGUGAGGUGUUUUGAAUUAUAAGCAGUCGGUAUGGUUUUACUUCAUGCACGUAACCCAGGUUAUUUUUUAUUUUUGCCUUUCCAGAGCUGUCAGUUGCCUGUAACACCGCCCAAAUAAAGGUAUGCAAAAGAAGAACAUGUUGCAUCCAUCCAUCCAUCCAUCCAUCCAUCCAUUGGGACCAUACUCUGCGUAGAGCAUUGGUGCUGUCUAAGCAGUCUCCUUGGCUAUUGGGCACAAUCCUGGAAUGGUCGCCACUCCGACACAGAAUACCAGCAAGCUGGCACUUAUUUUACCGACCUUGGAAGGACAACAAUCAGUCAACCCCACCUGGUAUUAAUUCAACAGCCGAAUGGGAUUUGAACUCAGGAACCUAGGAUCACCCUAACCAUGAAGCCAACACCAGGCAUACAUGUUGCAUGGUUGGGACAAUAUCCCCCACCGGAACCUGUCCACAAAAUUUGAUCCGGAUCCAUCCACAACUUUUUGAGAUAUCCUGUACACAAACAAAGAAACAGACAAACAGACAGAAAACAUAACCUCCUUCACCUUCGGUGGCAGAGGAAGUGUGGGAACACGCAUCUCACUGGCCCAAGAGGACAUUUCACGACAGAAGCUUAGAGGCCUCAAGAUGUCAUUAUCACCACACUACCAUAUGCUGCAUAGAGCAGGAACUCUCAGCCCAAAUGCCAAGCAGAGCUGUGUGGAUGGACUGCGCAGACAACUGAGGAAGUUACAUAUUAUUUACUGCACGAAAUUGGCCUUUGUCUAUUUGCAGGGGGCACAACAGCCGUUAGACCCCCAAUUACCGGUGAGGGAGGGUGUUGGGCAGCGCUUCCUUUUCAACAGCAGGAUUUCAGUGCUCAUCCCAAACUGCUCUCAGGACAUGACAUGAGUAGAACAGGCUGAGGAGGACAAGCAGAUUACCCUUCCCCUCCCCACUCCCCCACAACACCCAAACUACAAUUAAGGAGCCAACUGUGUUAUUUUAUGAAUAACCCGAUCGUGACAUGGUAAUUCUGUUGAUUUCAAAUCUGAAUCCUCAAUAAUGUCAACUUCAGCUGGAUUUAAACCCACAUCCUUUACAUUACUCUUCCAGUAUCCAUACUGCUGAUACCAAUGCCUCUAAAAAUCCUUUUUGUUAACAAUAGCAUUAUCUUCAGUUUUGGAAAGAUAACCCUUUUUGAUAUCAUUCCCAUGAUGACAUGGAAGCUUAACAUCUUUAUCAUCUUAUGGUCCAUAUGAGACACCACCAAGACAAUCAUAUCUUCCUCUGUGUCCAAAGUGUGUAAGAAAUCCAAUCCCUUGUUUUCACCAGAGCCUCGUAAUAAAGACACAAGAAGUCCUUGGCAAACCACAUUUCCAAGCUGCAUGGCCUUAAUGUCCCAGUGCACACUAGGCAUCCUCCAGUGAUUAAACCUUUAAUUCUCACAGCAUACGUACGAGGCAUUUGUUCAGCAUUAAAUUAAGUCUUAUUAUCCUUUGUGAGCUGAAGCAUCUAUCACCCACCUUUGCACUUCUGGAGGCUCUGGAGACUUGUAUUAACAUCGUUACCUUCUCAUCGCCAUAAUCUGGAUGUGUACCACCAUCAUCACCAUUAGCCUUUACAUCAUUUCCAUGCUCUACAUCACUUCCCGUCUCUAUCAUGUUUAUUUCUAUUUCAUAUUCUGUACAAGAAGGGCAAGUUAAAAUAAAUAACGAUACGCAUAUUUUAUCUCGUAUAGAGAGCUCAUUCCAACCACUCACUCACUGAUUAAUAUUAAAGUUCGGUACCUUCCAGGUGAGGUAGAAAGGUGAAAUUUUGCGUGCCAGUGGAAAUCAAAGCCAUUACACCGGGAAAAAUCACAGAACCAUUGGAAAGCAUCCGUAAAUGAAAAUAUAAAUAAUGAAAAUAAAUAAAUUAAAAACAUAAAUGCUGGUGAGCAACCCGAGGCAAUGGGGGAAGCACGGUAAUUGUGCGUGC
ensembl:lincRNA